GGAUUCAAUCUCAUGCAGUUUCCUGCAGAUGUGAGAAACAGUGCAGAGGAGAAGCUCCUGCUAUUGCUCAUGUCUUCAUCUGAAAGGGAGAGACUGCUCCUCACACUGCUGGUCACCUUCACACACAUGUACCUCUUGCUGUGCUGAUAAAGAUGAAGCCCGUUUCCCACCAGCUCAUCAGUGCUGAGAAGUUACUGUACUAGAGGCAACAGCACCUUUAUCUGGCAUUAUUUUGGAGACAAAGUGCACUUCUGAGGCUCAGCUGCCAUGGAAGGAUGAAGCUUUGUUGGGGAUAAAACCCCUCUGAGCCUGUAAAAUGGACUCAUGCCAGAGUUUUGUGCUAUAAAGGGAAAAGAAAGGCUGCAGAGACACCUGAAAUUAGCUCCACCCAGCCUCAGUUUUCAAUGUAGGCACUUUCUGGGUAAGGAAACAUAUUUCUGGGGACUUUUGGCUGAUUAACUUUUAUUUGUGACUCGUUUCAUUUCUGACUGAUGCAGGAUGCUUGUUGCUGGGCUACCUGGUUCAAGCGGAGGUAAUUUACAGGCCCGCUUACACCACAUUGUUCACCACUGUGAAUACAUUCUUGGUCUCAGCGCAUUAUGUCUACUUCCUUGGCAACUGAAAUGCUGGCUUGGACACGACAUGCAGUGAGUAAUAACUAAUAAUACAGCUUCCACUGUCACCUUUCAUAUGUUGUUUUUCAAUGGUAAAAUGAAUGCAACAAGCAGACAGAUCUAUGAGGAACCUGGCAGGUACUUAGCAGGUACUUGAAUAUUUGACUAGAGAUUUGGGUUUUUUUUCCAUUAUUCAUCCUAACUUGAAAACCUUUUGCUUGCAAGGACAGCUGCUAAAUGCUUUUGUACUGUUUAACCAGCUCUUUUAGCAGGCCCUGCUCUUGCAGGGUCAGCAAAAGCUGGCAUAUCCACAACACAAAGUUUUGCACGGGCUUGUGUUGCUCAAAGCCCCAAGGACACACCAGGAGCCCUGUGAAGCCAAUGACAAGCUUUCCUUCAAAUGCAGUGAAGCCCUGGCUGGGCGUCAGCUUCAUUAGCAUCAGACAUACCAGACAUUCAUGAAUGUUUGUUUGCUGUUUGGGGAGGGAGGGCAUUGCCAAUGGCAUGGCAGGAACAAGCGAUCCAUCUUCCUCAGCAGAAGUGAAGACAGGCCACUUCAGGUAGAGCUCUUGAUCUUGGCUUCCACCAAACCGGACUUCCCUUGGCAAGAAUUGAGUCAGGAGCUGUCAGACCCCCCUGGACUUGUAUCUGGUAUUAGGGAACAGCAAAUGCAUGGUUUUUUUCCUGCUCAUAAUGCAUUUCAUCAUCCAAUUGCAAACAGCAGCAAUAUUAUCUACCUGAACUCUCAGCUCUCCCUAGAUCAGCAGGGACCACUCCAGUGACCCCAGAGCUAGUGGCUACUUAGGUCAUGCAGGAAGUUCAGAAGACCUUCCUGACAAAUGCAAGUGUUAAAGUCACUGAGUGCUAAUUGCCAAGUAAAGCCUCUGCUGGCUACUACUAAUCAAUCUUUAGAUGCCACUAGGGAAAGAUAAAUAUGGAUUUUAUGGCACUUGGAUGAUAACAUAAACAAAGCCAUCAGAGCAAAUGGCAGAUCGUGACCGAUAAUGAUUUCCUGGGAGGUGAAGCAAAUGCCUCCUAUGGCAAUGAUCCACGUAAUUAGCUUGUACUGGAUUAUAAGGAUUUUGUGAUUGCAACUAAAAGCAGAAGGAAGCAUCAGCAUUAAGGAAAAUUGUAUCAUCAAAGAAGUACUCAGUUGGGAAGAUAGUCUAGUUUUAUGAGAAUUAUUACAGACUUGCUUUUAGGGCACAUUUUAAUCUUUCUCCCAGGUAAACUGAACACUAGGAAAACCUCCCCAGUUGUGCUAGCUCCUAAAGGGACAAGUGUGAUCAGAGAACUGCUGCCGUGUGAUGCAAAGGGAUGUGUCUACCCUUAAGGCAGGCUAGGGACUCGCUCUCAUCAGGUGUAAGGUCAUUUGUCAUCAAUCUUUACGCAGCCAAAUUCAGCAAGGUUGAUGGGCACAGAUGAGCAAGGUGAGCAACCAAGAACGUGUCACUGAAUUCCUGUGUAAGAUACAGUGAGUCAAAUUCCCUGCUCUACGUUUCCCGCUGUUUUUCAAGGCCAAAUUGUGGUCUCAGUGCUUGAGGUCUCAAGAUGAAACUGGAAGCUACAGGGGUGACCUCACCUCUGGGCAAAGCCACGGUCAGUGUAGCUCUGUGUGUUAUCAAGAGGGUAAAGGGCGUCAAACUGUACUUUCUAGUCACUGAUCAUAAGUAAGGGACUGAAAUCUGACCCCUGCGUUGCUUGAGCCCAGGGGAAUUUCUCUGGGCAGGGCCGUGGAAGCAGUAUUUCAGAGGCUUAGAAUGGGAUUUGUGUAUGAACAGCCACAGCCUUCGCUUGUGCAUGUUUUUAACCUCCUGUGUUCAUUUUGCUGCCUCCCAUUCCAGCUCCAUGGCAGGCUCAUCCUGUCACUGCUGCUAAUUUGCACUUGCUGCUGGCAUGGCUGUGGGUGAAAGCAGACAGAUGAGUAUUGGCAAGGAGCAGAGAGCUGAUCACAGCCUUGGACGCAUGGUCCUCUGCUUGUGCUCCAGGGAAUGAGCUCAGCUGAAUGGCAAAGCUCAGCCUUGGGGUUGUGCCAGACAGAAACCAUAAGUUUUGUUUCCAAACCUGACACUGCAACAGCUUCUUACAUGGAAUCCUACAGCCUGGCUUAGACGAGCAGAUGUCUAAUGGUCACUUAGUUUUUUAAUCCUGUUUUUUACGGCUUAGAUUCCACCUUCAAAGCCACUUUCUGGAUGCGAAAUAGCACUUGCUGGAGGUUAGUUCUAAGUUCAGCAUUAUUGCGAUGGUUUGCAGUGUUUGCAAAGUGGCCUGUUAUAUCUGCACUGCCUCGACUGCACACAAAACUCGGUCAGAAAUGGGAGUUGCUCCCGAAGGCUUGAUGCAGGUCCUGCCCCUGCAUCCCUUCCUAAACUGUGUCUCCAUAUCCUCAGCUUGGGCAAACAGCCACCUUUCUAAAAAUAUCCCAUCCCAGAACCCCCCAAAACAUCUUUAUAAAGUGGGAUUGAAGGAAUUACUGUGGUGUGGUGAAGCGUUUUCACAUCUGUACAUGCUGAAUAAUAUUAUUUAACUCCUAACUUUGGAGUUGUUAGUGGAUGUUAAAAGAUAAUUCUGUAUGUAACUAAUUAGCACUGGUACAAAGUUGGAGACACUGUAUGUUUUGUAUGCAUUUAUUCUUGUUACUAUCUGUAAGACGCUGUGAGCUUUAGCCCUAGCCCAGUACCGGGCUGUGAACAAGUAUCUUGUAGUGAUCUCACAGUAAAAUCACCAAUAGUUCUCUUACAGAAAAUCAGAAGCAUCAAUGAGGAAAGCAGUGAAUAAAAUCAUGUCUUUGCAAUGAGCACCUGUGAAGGACAGGGGAUUCCCAAUGGAACCCGUCCUUUUGGACAAAAUCUAUCCUGGGACCUGACUUACCUCAAAGGACCCGAGCAACCUUCUUCCAGCAAGAGACCAUUAGAAACCCUACACCAAUGAAAUCCAGCACCCUACAGUGACAAAGGAAAUCCCUGCCCACAAAUAUCCAACUUUGAUGCCAGAAAGUAUUGUACGUUCUCUGACAGGGCCUGAUGCUGCAGGUAGGUGGAGCAGGCACCGCAGUGAGUAGCAUACAUCUCUCUCAGUGGCUGUCCUCAGCAAAUACCCAUUGAUUCAUUGAUACUUGUCACCACAAGUCCAAGAGAACUGGCUUAGAUCAGAGCAAUCUUCUGCUCUUUCUUAAGAUAACAGAAGCUAGAGCUUAACAAUAUGAUUUAUUAAAAAUGCUGUAGGAAGGACAAUUUCAGCAAGAACUAAAAAUGCCACUAACCAAUCAGCUGCAGAGGGACUUGUUCACUCCAUGAAUUCCCUAUUCACAGAAUUUCCCACUCCUGCUGAAUCAUUGUUACUGUCUUUCCAGCAGAGAGGAGCUGCACCGUGAGCAAAAGUGAAUAACACCACCUUUUUGUCUGACUUCUUUCCUUUAAUGAUUAAUAUGGUGGUGACUUUUUUAGGAUCCACUUGAGCUGAAUCAAGCAUCAGCUCUAAUAUGUUAUUAGCAUUAGCUUCACAGCUGAUUAGAGUAACUAUUUUGCAGGAAAAGUGUAACCAAAGCAGCCAGGAAAUGCUCUGAAGUCCACUGAAAACAAAACCCCAACCAACAAAGCACAUUCAUCACAAACAGUUAUAUAGAUUGUCUGUGCAGUUAAUUGUGCCAGAAGUUAGGAAGCAGUUACAGGCUGCCAAAUGCCAUUGGAUCAAAUGGCUUGACAGCAAGAAAGCAAAAUAACUAACCUAGAAAGGUCAGCACUGGACAUAAGAAAGGCCUCUUCUUGAAGCAGUUGUCUCUCUAUUAGGGAGAAAACAUUUUGGAAGGGAAAGAAGUGGAGUUUCUACCUUGCCUUGCAAGGUUCUGAAGCACAGUGGAGGAUACAUUGACCUCUCCAUUUGCCUGGAGUCCUAACACUGACUCCAAAGAGCUGAGAUUUCACAGCCACGGUAAGCAGGUAGAAGAAGGAACAUCUUUAACAGAGCAAGGCAUUCUUCAUUUCCUAUCUUAGUGCCAAUUACAACUGCAGUUUUUCUUCACAGGUCACAAACAGAAGCAUGUAAGCACAUGCUUAACUUGCCUCUGUUCAAAGAAGGCCUUUUAAUGAACUGCAAACACAUGUUUAAAUCCUUUCCUUGAUAAAGCUGCUUUCCUGAAUUGGGAUGUAACAGUGAAUUUGACACAGAGCUGUGUGAACAGUAAUACUCGCUUUCCAUUUGUAGCGUUUUUCGUUACAAGGAACAACCUUGCUGAUGGAGGUAACUGGACAGGGAAUGCUUCUGUUGGCUUUCGUGUUGCUGACUGGGUUUCAUUUGAAGAAGCCUUGUAAGGACAGCUACCAGAGAGAGACAUUGCCUGCAAGAGAAGCAGCCCCAGAUGAACACUGACAGCCUUGAAGUGGAGCAGACAGAUGGAGUCAUGUUUGCCAGAGUCCCACAAGCCUUUAUUAAAAGCAGGCAGUUCUGAUGACUGCACAGAAAGGGAACAAGUUAGGUGUUAAAGGAGGCAGCGUGCUCUGUAAUACGUGAUUGCAUUAGCGGUUUAGAGGCAGGGCUUCACCUUUCCAGGUGGAAGGCACAGUGCUGAAGACCGUCCCCCCUGGCACAGACCUCUCCCCAUGCAACCUUGCCCAGGAACUCGGAGGAAAAAGCAGUGACUUUAUUUACCCAGCAAACAUGCUGAGUAAUAGCGAAUCUCCAACCAAAGUCCUUCCCACAGCUGCCUCCAGAGCACUCAGCAGCACCCGGUGCAGAACACCCUGCAGAACCAGCCCAGCUUUCUGUCUAGCUUUGCACUCCCUUGUCACCCAGUGCAGGGCUGGCACGAGGCUGGGUGCCAGAGUCAGAGUCACUCCUCCCCUCAGCACGCAGUUUAUGGUACACAGGCAGAUUCGGAGACGGGUCCUUCCACAUGUGCAGUCCGGAAGCUGAGCUGAGAAAGAAUUGGGUGAGUCAAGAACAAUGCCUGGAAGCCUCAAAAAUACCCAACGACAAAAAACCUGGAGUCCUCCCUACUCCGAAGACACAGCAUUCUCCUCAAAAGCAUAGGCAGGAACACCCUGUUCUCCUGCAACACACCAUUUAUGGCUUCAUUGAGUACCUUUGUCAGUCACUUUCCUGUUAAUCUGAACAUUUAUAAUGUUGCCAGAUGGACAGCCUUAAAUUUAGGAACUAUCCCUGUUCCUCCUGGAUGCUGAUGUUGGAAUACAAUAGAAAAGCCUGGGAACAGCAGUGCAGAGCAAACUGGUUCAUGAGAAAGAGUCCAGGGAAGAGGCAGCGACGUGAACUCUUGCACGGUCUGUGCCUGACCUGGCUGGCAACGGGACUGUGCUGCCACAGGGAUCGUUCCUCAAAGCUCCUGUAUCGGCAGGCAAUGAAGGCAACAGUGGCUGCUGGGUCCCACAGGACAAAACCAUAAACCCAGUCCCAUUCACCAGGGAGCAGUGGAAGGCCUGAGGAACCAUUAUUACCCCUUGCCUGGGAAGAAACUGUGCCCUCCCUCUCUCCUGAGCUAUAUGGCCCAUGUCUUCUGGCUUUUGGCCCCAGGAGGAGUUCAGCAUUCAGUCUGGUAUAGUAGGAAGAGCUAUCUCACAACAAGGGCAGGAUCAAGAACAUGCCCCUUAAGGAGAAGACAGCAGCAGAUUGACCAGUGGUGUGGUAUCCUUUAGCAAAGUAAGAGGUCUUGUGGUGAAGAAACGUUAUCCCUAAGGGUGGUACUGAUACUGAUAUCCUGUUUAUUCCAUUUACAAGCACUCAGUCUUACAAGAAGUUUUCUUACUACAAGCAAACUACAAAAACAUCAUGGGGGCGAAAGAGUAAUGCUCAGCUUCAGUAAUUCCUGAAGUCCAGCCAAUGAGGCAUCGAGCUCCUCAUCCUCCCUUCCUUCCGAGCUAAAUUCCAUGGGAUUGACACCAAUCCCUGUAAAUUUAUAACCUGCCCCACCUUCAGGAAUUAAAAAAGCUUUGAGCUGUACCAGUUUCUUUGACCCAGUAUCUUAAAAUCGGUUAAUUCUUCCUUAUAAACUAAUGGCCCUGCGUGGGGGUGAGGAGGAGAGGACAUGGGCAUGUUCUGUUUCAGUGUGAUUGCUGGUCAGCUUCCUGGCUAUUUACAACAUCUUAUUAAAUGGUGUUACAGCACACGGGAAGCCAA